rnacentral:rRNA from 1 species
AUUGAACGCUGGCGGCAGGCUUAACACAUGCAAGUCGAGCGAGCGGCGGACGGGUGAGUAAUGUAUGGGGAUCUGCCUGAUAGAGGGGGAUAACUACUGGAAACGGUGGCUAAUACCGCAUACCAUCGGAUGAACCCAUAUGGGAUUAGCUAGUAGGUGGGGUAAUGGCUCACCUAGGCGACGAUCCCUAGCUGGUCUGAGAGGAUGAUCAGCCACACUGGAACUGAGACACGGCCCAGACUCCUACGGUAGGCAGCAGUGGGGAAUAUUGCACAAUGGGCGCAAGCCUGAUGCAGCCAUGCCGCGUGUGUGAAGAAGGCCUUAGGGUUGUAAAGUACUUUCAGCGGGGAGGCGUUACUCGCAGAAGAAGCACCGGCUAACUCCGUGCCAGCAGCCGCGGUAAUAC